CGGCGGACGGGUGAGUAACACGUGGAUAACCUACCUAUAAGACUGGGAUAACUUCGGGAAACCGGAGCUAAUACCGGAUAAUAUAUUGAACCGCAUGGUUAANAGUGUAAAGACGGUUUUGCUGUCACUUAUAGAUGGAUCCGCGCCGCAUUAGCUAGUUGGUAAGGUAACGGCUUACCAAGGCAACGAUGCGUAGCCGACCUGAGAGGGUGAUCGGCCACACUGGAACUGAGACACGGUCCAGACUCCUACGGGAGGCAGCAGCU
rnacentral:rRNA from 1 species